CGGGGCGUAGCUCAGCUUGGCAGAGCGCUCGCUUUGGGAGCGAGAGGCCGUGGGUUCAAAUCCCGCCGCCCCGA
rnacentral:tRNA from 1 species